AGCAGCCGCGGUAAUUCCAGCUCCAAUAGCGUAUAUUAAAGUUGUUGCAGUUAAAAAGCUCGUAGUUGAAUUUCGGGAUUGACGUGAUGGUCGUGCCUUAAGGGGUAUGAACUGUUGCUGUUGAUUUCUCACCUUCUGAAGAAACUUGAUGUCCUUAAUUGGGUGUCUUGCGGAUCCAGGACCUUUACCUUGAAAAAAUUUAGAGUGUUUAAAGCAGGCAUUUUGCUCGAAUACAUUAGCAUGGAAUAAUAGAAUAGGACGGCAUGGUUCUAUUUUGUUGGUUUCUAGGAUCACCGUAAUGAUUAAUAGGGAUAGUUGGGGGCAUUAGUAUUCAAUUGUCAGAGGUGAAAUUCUUGGAUUUAUUGAAGACUAACUACUGCGAAAGCAUUUGCCAAGGAUGUUUUCAUUAAUCAAGAACGAAAGUUAGGGGAUCGAAGACGAUCAGAUACCGUCGUAGUCUUAACCAUAAACUAUGCCGACUAGGAAUCAGACGAUGUUAAUUUUUUAAUGACUCGUUUGA
rnacentral:misc_RNA from 1 species